rnacentral:rRNA from 1 species
GACGAACCGUGCGAACGUUAUUCGGAAUUACUGGGCUUAAAGCGCGUGUAGGCGGGCCGCCGCGUCGGCUGCUGAAAUCCCCCGGCUCAACCGGGGAACGGGCACCGAUACGGGCGGCCUCGAGGGGGGUAGGGGGGUCUGGAACUUCCGGUGGAGCGGUGAAAUGCGUUGAGAUCGGAAGGAACGCCCGUGGCGAAAGCGAGGCCCUGGACCCUUUCUGACGCUGAGACGCGAAAGCCAGGGGAGCGAACGGG